rnacentral:lncRNA from 1 species
UUCAUUUAAAUUCUAGAAUCUUGGCAAAAUAAUAUCCCAAGAAUAAUAUUAAGUGCCAAGAAUGAUUAAUUACAUUAAAAAAUAAAAGAAGUUGAUAGAACAUGUUGAUUAAAUGUCCUGUUUGAUAAGGCCAAAUAAAAUAACAUAUGUGUUUCCUAUUACAUCUUUGAAAAUAAUAAGUAGGGAUUUUUUUUUAAUUUUACAAUUUUUUUUUAUAUUGAGUCUAUGAAGGCAAAAUUCUGACUUCAAAGUGCUUAUUGAAAUGGAAAAAUUAGGGUGAGUAGGGAAAAAAACCACACAUAUUUUUUAUUUGACUUUAAUUUCAAUGACAGCAACAUGUAGACACAUAUAAAAAUGAGAUAAAUACAUGGUUUAAACAAGAAACAGAUGUUUUUUUUUACAAAACCCUAUCAGUGGACAAUGGAAAGGUUCUAGGAAGACAAUAAAAAUGUGUUCAGUCAAAGCACCUUAGUACAUAAUGAUAAGAAAAAACAAAAUAAUAUACAUUAUGUACACAAAAGAA